rnacentral:rRNA from 1 species
AAUAUUGCGCAAUGGAGGAAACUCUGACGCAGCGACGCCGCGUGGGUGAUGAAGGCCUUCGGGUCGUAAAGCCCUGUCGGAGGGGAAGAAAAGUCCGUCGGCUAAUAUCCGGCGGACCUUUGACGGUACCCUCAAAGGAAGCACCGGCUAACUCCGUGCCAGCAGCCGCGGUAAGACGGAGGGUGCAAGCGUUGUUCGGAUUGACUGGGCGUAAAGGGCGUGUAGGCGGUUGGUCAAGUCCGAUGUGAAAGCCCGGAGCUCAGCUCCGGAAGUGCAUCGGAAACUAGCCAGCUGGAGCGCGAUAGAGGAGGGUGGAAUUCCUGGUGUAGCGGUGAAAUGCGUAGAUAUCAGGAGGAACACCGGCGGCGAAGGCGGCCCUCUGGAUCGUUGCUGACGCUGAGACGCGAAAGCGUGGGGAGCAA